rnacentral:rRNA from 1 species
CCCUUAGAUGUUCUGGGCUGCACGCGUGCUACAAUGGCGCUUGCAACAAGUCUUGCCAACCCGAUAGGGUGAGCGGAUCUUUGAAGAGGCGUCGUGAUCGGGACAGUUGAUUGCAAUUAUUCGACUCGAACGAGGAAUUCCUUGUAAUCGCGAUUCAUCAUAUCGCGCUGAAUACGUCCCUGCCCUUUGUACACACCGCCCGUCGCUCCUACCGAUUGAAUGCUCAGGUGAGCCAUUCGGACUUUCAUCAUGCUGGUUUCCAGUUUUGAUGAAGGAAAGUCUUGCGAACCUUAUCAUUUAGAGGAAGGAGAAGUCGUAACA